GCCUGGGUCAUCAUGCGGACAUUUUUCAUGUUUGUUCAUUUAUUUGUGUGCAAUUUGUUGUCCCGUUUCAUUUCACAGGUUUGGCACUUGUUGAUUGCUCUGCCAGUUCAGAGACGAUAGGUGUGCUAAAGCUGACGAUUGAUUUGGGUUGUUGUAUUGUGCUGGCAAAUAAGAAGCCACUUACAUUUGGAACUGAAGAUUAUGAGAAGCUAGUCUCAAACUUGCAUCGCGUUCAAUAUGAAUCAACUUUGAGCUAAAGCCAGUUCUUCAAAUCUUAUAUGAAAUGGGACGUGCUCCAGCGAUAUUGAUACCUCCGUAAGCUAAUGAUGGCACCUGGUAGAUAUGGGGCCCACAUGUAUGCAGGCCAUCCAACUCAUUCAUCAGAGGGUCACCUCAUGCUACUGUAUUCUGGGUUUUGAUAGUCUUCUUUCAAAUGUUCACCCUAACACUAAAUUGCGCAGGUUAUCAUGGCUCAUGGGUGCUUUGAUGAUACUAAGGUUGCAGAAGAAACCUCUUGUUCUUUUGAUUUUUUUAAAAAGGAUUUUGGAUGUCAUAAUUAUGUUUAUAAGUAGCUUUUCAUCAAUGUUU